CUGAGCCACCCAGGCAUUCCUGUCUCUCUUAAUCCAUUUGGCCAUUAACAAGAAGACACUAGAACACUGGACAGUGUCAAAUUCAGAGUCCCAGAAGGUGGCCUCUCAUGGGCUCAGUAAAAGGUUGGUUCAAGAAACGGCGGGCUUUAUGAUUAACAGGAAGGACCUCAACUGCAAGCCAGUCUAUGCCGGUUACUCAGCCUGUGAUACCUGUGGCUCGCUCUUCCCCUUCCUGCUUUAUCGACUUCCAAGAUUUCACUGGGAGAUGAAACUAUAGCAGGGACCGUUCGGCCGGGGAUGGAAGCCUCUCAGCCAGAUGCCACGGGGAACCACUAGCAGGCUCCCUCAGCGACAACAACAACAACG